ensembl:lncRNA PWRN1 Prader-Willi region non-protein coding RNA 1
GAUUUAAAAAUUGUAUCUAAGGGGCAUGAAGCACCUUUCUGGGGCAAUGGGUCUGAAGCCAUGCAGGCUGGAGUGCAGUGGCACAAUUAUGGCUCACUGUAGCCUCACCUUCCUGGGAUCAAGCAAUCCUCUUUCUUCAGCCUCCAGAGGAGCUGGGACCACAGGCAUUCUGUGGAUGAUAUUCUGGCUUCUGAAGACUUGUCAUUGCUACAGCAACACCGAGAUGCAUUGGCACUCUUCAAUCCAGAGGAUGGGCCAUCAACGCACAAAAGUGGAAGGCUUGGACUAGCUGCAAAGUUCCUAUGGAUCACUUGGCCUGUGACUUUCCUUGCUUGAAGACUUCUCUGUCUGUAAUUCAUGCAGCGACUCUUCCUUUAUUUGAUAAAAACAGGUUCUCCCUAUGUUGCCCAAGCUGGUCCUGAACCCCUAGCCUCAAGUAAUCCUCCUGCUUCAACCUACCAAAGCAUUGGGAUUACAAGUUUGACCCACCAUGGUCAGUCCAGGGUAGGAAAUGGAAUCUUAACAACUAUCACACGAGCUUUGAGGGGAUCCUUCUCCAGAUGAGCCUUCAGUUGCGACCUCAGCCUUGGACAUCAUCUGCAUCUGGAUUCCUGACCCAGAGCAACUGAAUUUUAUGGAACCUUGUAUUCUGUUGAAUACCAGAAUUAUAUCAGCAAUCCCCAAGUCACCAAAUGGGCAUCAUCAUGACAGCAGGUGGGUGGAAUACAAAAGAAAAAAAUAUAUAUAUAUGUAUGUAUGUGUGUCUAUAUAUAUAUGUAUGUGUAUAUAUAUGUGUGUGUUUGUGUGUAUAUAUAUGUACAUAUGUGUAUAUAUGUACAUAUGUGUAUAUAUAUGGAACACUAAGGCCCAUUCUUCCUCUCAAGUAUCCAGAAAUAAAGUUGCUCCAAGUAACAAGUGGACAGCAUAAAAGAUUGUAUGGAAACUAUAAUGCAUCUACAUCUGCAGUAACUAAUCAUAAAAUGAUUUGUAUGAUCAUUCUUCACAUGAUUAGAAUUACUAUGGGAAAGAAGAAAAAGAAA